UCCAUUUUCCUUCUUUCCUGGGAUUGAAUAGUCAAACUUUUAUUGCUCGUUCUCAACAGCUUCAUUCUCUAGAAUAGGUUGCUCAAAAUUUUCCGACUCAAUUUUAUCUUCUUGGAUUUCAACAAGUGAAACACAGCUUAGGAUUCUCCAAAUGCCUUGCGACCUGUUGAUAUGUAACUGUAUCUUCAAGAACCCCUGAUAUAGCUUCCAGCUCUGCUUUUAGCCUAGCCAUAUGAUAAAUCACCAAAACAUUUUGAAUACAACAAAGCAACUCUAUGCUUAAAGUUGUUAACAUUGUUGUUAAUCAACCUGAAAAUAACAUUUUGAUAUCACUUGCAUUAGAAAUCACAUUUAUGAUAUUAAAAACUUAGGCGUGAAAGGAAUCAACCUCUAAAUCAGAUGGAAGUUUGAAAUGAUCAAUCAUUUUUACUUUCUUUCUGGGCAUGUGAGUUUAAUUUUAGUAACCUGGAUAAUGCAUGCUUACUAAAUGGUGAUAGCUUGUACAGGAGCUUGUCCUUAAAAUCUUACAGUUGAUAAUCUGUAGCUGUGGGUAGCCCGUUUCAAUGAGUUUGAUAAAAUAAUAUGUUGUUUUAUAUUCUUCCGAGUAAUAUACAGUUGCAAUAUGAAGUAUGUUGCGAUUAGCCAGUUACAUUAUGCGGAUUUAAUUCAUUAAGGCUAUGAACUUUUCAUUUGUAUGACCCCCAUAACAUGCAAGUCAAAAUGCACCUCAAAAGACUGUGUGUCACAUUGUCAUUUGUAAUUGUAUUAAUAACUUUGAGCAUUUAUGCUGGACAUAAGGUUCUCCUUGUCCUUCCUAUUUGGCCUCUAGUUUGUUAGACCAUUACUUUAUUCCAUAGUUUGUGAAAAUGAAAACAAAACCUUUUAUCUUUUUGAGUGUAGGUUAUUAGCAAGCUUGAAAGGAAGACAGUUGCUUACCAUGAAUCAGGUCAUGCUGUUGCUGGUUGGUUCUUGGAACAUGCAGAGCCCUUGCUUAAGGUAACAAUUGUUCCGCGUGGUACUGC
rnacentral:lncRNA from 1 species